AUUUAAAUAGUUUAAGUUAAAAUUUUGAUUUGUGGAAUCAAAGAUAUAUAGUUUAUAUUUUAAAUA
rnacentral:tRNA from 1 species